rnacentral:rRNA from 1 species
UACGUAGGGGGCGAGCGUUGUCCGGAUUCAUUGGGCGUAAAGAGCGUGUAGGCGGUCCGGUAAGUCGGCUGUGAAAGUCCAGGGCUCAACCCUGGGAUGCCGGUCGAUACUGCCGGACUAGAGUUCGGAAGAGGCGAGUGGAAUUCCCGGUGUAGCAGUGAAAUGCGUAGAUAUCUGGAGGAACACCGGUGGCGAAGGCGGCAUCCUGGACCGGUAUUGACGCUGAGGAGCGAAAGCCAGGGGAGCAAACGGG